rnacentral:rRNA from 1 species
AUUGAACGCUGGCGGCAGGCUUAACACAUGCAAGUCGAGCGGAGCGAGGGUGCUUGCACCUUAGCUUAGCGGCGGACGGGUGAGUAAUGCUUAGGAAUCUGCCUAUUAGUGGGGGACAACAUUCCGAAAGGAAUGCUAAUACCGCAUACGCCCUACGGGGGAAAGCAGGGGAUCUUCGGACCGUGCGCUAAUAGAUGAGCCUAAGUCGGAUUAGCUAGUUGGUGGGGUAAAGGCCUACCAAGGCGACGAUCUGUAGCGGGUCUGAGAGGAUGCUCCGCCACACUGGGACGGAGACACGGCCCAGACUCCUAAGGGAGGCAGCAGUGGGGAAUAUUGGACAAUGGGAGGAAGCCUGAUCCAGCCAUGGCGCGUGUGUGAAGGAGGCAUUUUGGUUGUAAAGCACUUUAAGCGAGGAGGAGGCUACUAGUAUUAAUACUACUGGAUAGUGGACGUUACUCGCAGAAUAAGCACCGGCUAACUCUGUGCCAGCAGCCGCGGUAACAC